UAUUAGGUUGGUGCAAAAGUAAUUGCUGUUUUUGCCAUCCAUUGAAAGUAAUGGCAAAACCACAAUUACUUUUGCCCCAGCCUAGUAU
rnacentral:miRNA from 1 species